UCUAUUUGCAGCAACUUAAUAUUUCCCUUUCAAAUAAGGGAAGCCGGUGAAAGUCCGGCACGGGGACGCCACCGUAACCGGGGACGAAAUCCACAAAAUGCCACUGGGAUAUUUCCUGGGAAGGCGUGGAGAGUAGGAUGAUCCGGAAGUCGGGAUACCUUAUUUGAAAGGAAAGCAAUC
rnacentral:ncRNA from 2 species